CUUCUAGAAAUAGUAUUUGUGAGGGCUCUGAAUGCCAGUCUGAAUGCCAGUAUUUGUGAGGGCUCUGAAUGCUCUAGUCUGCAAUGCGGAAGUCCUCAUGCCAGGUGUCCCAGCUUUUCCUUUUCCCAUUCGAAGUGGGGGCCGAUGAGACAGGACUGGGGGAGUCAUCGUCACGGUAACUGGCACGGCCUGUGGGGGCUUGCAUCAAGUUCCGGCACCAGGAAGGGCUCCGUUAGCCUCUAAUUGUCUCUGCGUCUCUGUCUUCUUCUGUCACUAAGCAAGCUGAGUUUUCUGCUUGACCCCAUCCUCUUUGCUGCGGGGAGUGAUCAGGAACAUAAAGGACGCCAGGUUGCCCGCAUCCAGGGUGACAGAUGGUCCUGAUCUGCCCAAGACUGAGGGGAUUACCCAGCAAGCAUGUGACACCAAUAGUGCAUUCACCCCGCUGAGAGGCAUCUGCUUGGUCCCAAGCACUUAUGGCUUGCUCUCAAAAUGAACACUUAUGGACCACAGCACUCACCAGGCUCAUUUGAAGAGAAAAAAAAUUGAGGCUCAUGGAGGUUGAAUCAACCUGCUUCAUCUAUCUGGCACUAAGAGACAGACUCCAAAUUUGAAGCUUGCCUGUCUUGUGUAUCACCCCGGGGCAUGUCAUAUCAUGUGUGUUGUUGAGUGUGUG